UACGUAGGGUGCGAGCGUUAAUCGGAAUUACUGGGCGUAAAGCGUGCUCAGGCGGCUUUGCAAGACAGAUGUGAAAUCCCCGGGCUCAACCUGGGAACUGCAUUUGUGACUGCAAGGCUAGAGUACGGCAGAGGGGGAUGGAAUUCCGCGUGUAGCAGUGAAAUGCGUAGAUAUGCGGAGGAACACCAAUGGCGAAGGCAAUCCCCUGGGCCUGUACUGACGCUCAUGCACGAAAGCGUGGGGAGCAAACAGG
rnacentral:rRNA from 1 species